UACGGAGGGUGCGAGCGUUGUCCGGAAUCAUUGGGCGUAAAGGGCGCGUAGGUGGCCACUUCAAGCGUGCGGUGAAAGUCGGGGGCUCAACCCCUGAUCGGCCGUGCGAACUGGGGGGCUGGAGCACUGUAGAGGCAGGCGGAAUUCCGGGUGUAGCGGUGGAAUGCGUAGAGAUCCGGAGGAAGACCGGUGGCGAAGGCGGUCUGCUGGGCAGUUUCUGACACUGAGGCGCGACAGCGUGGGGAGCAAACAGG
rnacentral:rRNA from 1 species